rnacentral:lncRNA from 1 species
GAGUUUCUUUUUGGUGUUUUGUUGGCGUUUCGACGGCUAUGAUCAUCUGAAGGUCUUGAGACUAUAUAUAGGACUCAUGAGAGCCCUAGAGUUAAGGGAUUGGCCGUAUUUUGAGAGAGACUCUUGUUUGUGAGGCUAGGGUUCUAGAGAAGAAGAGGAUUGGGAUCCUACUUCUUGUGCAAAGGGAAUUCUGUGUGAAUCUCUUGUAGAUCGAUCGCUUGUGAUCGUUCGGGUGUGUGCUAUCUCUGUAAUCAGUUCAUCCUUAUUGAGAUUUGGAGCGGUGGAGGACGUAGGCUAUUUGUAGCUGAACCUCGUUACAUCUUUGUGUUUGCUUUGCUAUUUUCUUCCUUCUUCUUCCUUUGAUCUUUGAUAAUCCGUUGCGGUGCUCAAAUGUUUUACCCUACUGAUACCACGGGGUAAUCNN